CAGAACUAAGCCACAAAGGAAGCAGUAACAGAAGUACGAUCCUAUAGUUUUACAGCGUGGCUUUGGAAUUGAGGUUAGGGAAUACUCUAAUUCAGUUUUUUGCUGAGCAGUGAUAGUUGUUGAGGUAACUCAAAAUUCCUAUCCACUUAAUGAACUCUGUUUUUACCAGCAAAUACAACAAGACCAAAAGCAGAACAUCAUCCCAGUCAUUUCCCUGUAAACUCCUUGGCUAGGAGAUGAGAUAAUUAACUAAAUCUCUUUUCAUACAAAAAACAGCUUCUAUUUUGGAGAGGUGAAUUUGUUCAGCAGAUCAUAUUUGCUUUUUGUACUGGGUUUGAUGGAGACAAACUCCAAUUAUCCAUCAAUAUUUCUCAGUUGGAGAUCUGAUGAUUCCUUAUGAUUUUGUCAAAGGAAGUAUCUUCAGUUACCUUAUUGUCAUAAAUAUUAAGAGGAAUGUACAUGUUGACUUUUUGCCCAUCUAAUUCAUUGGGUGCCCUGUUUGGUCAACUGAUAACAUGUCAGGAGGCUAUCCUUUAAACUCUUUAAAUGUUGAAGGGAGAAAUGUCAUGUCUUAUUUAAAUCUUUCCAAAUACCUUCCCUUUAACUAUAUCUUCCAUGGUUGUUGGUAAAGAAUAAUUGGAUGGGGUUGAAAGUUGUAUACACUCUUCCAAAGAUAGGCUAUAUACAGUGUUUCAGUUACCUACUGCUAUGUAACAAACCAGCAAAAUAGGUGGUGAAUCAAAACAGUUAAUCACAAUUUCACAGUUCUGUACAUUGAUUGUGCUUAUCUGGGCAAUUUUUACUUCCUUUCAUGCAGUUGCAGGCAGAUAGAGAGUGGCACUGGAAUCAUCUGAAGUUCAACUGGGCUGGACCUUCAAGAUGGCUUCUUCCCUUGCAUGCCUGGACCCUCAUUGUGGAUGGCUGGAACAGCUGGCCACUGGCUGGGUGUAAAAGAUGAAGAAAAUUUUAUUCAUUAGACCUUAUCUUAAGGAGAAAACUGCUUGAUUUCAGGAAGAGAGAAAAAUCUCAAAAGCAUGCUCCAACAAAAUAAGAUGCUUACUGAAAUACUAAGCAGGAGAAAAAGAGAGAAAUUGUUUUGUUUCUGAAAAGAAGAAAAGGAAGAAUGCAUAAAGAAUUAAGGGAGAAAAAUGGGUAGUAAAAGAGAAGGCAGAUCUUAUGAUGUAGUUUUAUGACUCAGUUAUCAUCAAUAAUGUUUCUAUACAUAGAAAUCUUUUUCUUUAAAUAAAUGAUAAAGGUUCUGAAUUUUGUUUUGUGCU
rnacentral:lncRNA from 13 species